CUUCAAAAGAGACAGACAUGAAGUUGUUGUCUGUGAAAGAUGUUUUCUCUGUUUUAUGGGGAUGGACAUCUUUACAUUAUUACUUUACUAGUUUAGGGGUGAGUAAUCUAUUAUAUGUGCAUUAUUCUUCCAACAAUAGUUAUUACUGUAAGAGUUUUCAUUAGUAAGCAUUGCUGUAUGAUAAGAUCUUUGUCUAGUGCUCUUUCUUAUGAAUGUUUCAGCAUGACUUUGUGAAAGGUUAAUUAAACUACAACAAUCUCAUAGCUUGCUAUGGUCAUGGUUGCUUGUAAUUGAAAACAUUCUAUUAAUUUACACACAUUAAUGUGUGGCAAAACAUUUUGCAAUCAAUGUGUUUUUUGUCAUUUCUUCCAGCGCUAGAUCACAGAGCAAGUUAAAGCCAUAACCAUGCUUGUUUUACUGCUGAUCGCAUCAAUGUUUCGGCAAGGUCUUACAGUAGUGGGCUACGGAGACAACUUUAUCACUGCCUUUCCAGAGAACAUUGGUUUCUUCUAUACGUCUAAUACCAAUAACCGUCUAAGAGUCACAGCCCUGCAUGACAACACUUCAUUAAAAGUCUUCUACAAAACCACACAGAAAGACUUACAAAUUCCAAAGUCAGGACAGACCAUGAUUAUUUUGUUUCCAAAGUCCGCUGAAGUAAAUGAACUAGGCCCCUCGAUUUUAUCUGUCAGAAUUACCAGUGACAAAAACAUCACAGUGGUUUCUAUAAGUCACCAGGCAGGCAGCACCCAGUCCUAUGUCGUCCAGCCAACUGUAAAUCUUGGCACAAACUAUUUGAUCCCUUUGCUGGAUUACCCAGGGUAUCUUGAAUCUUUCAACCUAACUAGGCUUGUCAGUACAACCAUAAGAUACAGCUCAUUCAAGUUACUCAUUAUCAAUGCGGUGGACAGUCAAAACAGCGUCACUAUAGUCAAGCAAACAUCAGCAUCAGGUGUUCGCGAAGAGACGUUCAGUAUCAAUUCCUACCAACUGGUCCAGCUUCAGACCAACGGUUCUAUUUUGAGGGUCAAAUCGAGCAAAGAAGUCGCUGUGAUAUUGACCCACCCUUGUGUAGAGACUGAGAACUGUAAAUGUAACAUGGUAAUGAAUCAGAUUCUUCCCACAAAGUUUCAGGGUCGGAGCUUUAUCGUACCUUCCAUCUUCAAAGUGUCCAAGACCAAGCUACUUAUGCUAUCAGAAAACACAUCCACGCUAUUCCACGAUGGUAACCAGUUACAGGCUUCUCCCUCGACGCUUCUGCCAUUUUCAGACCCGCAGAAAUCCCAGCUGGUUAAUGCUACGGAGCUAGUGUCCCUCAGACUUUUCAGUCCAGGUCUCAUUGUGGAGCUGAUCCCAGAAAACAUGUUCUUUGCUUGCUACCUGCUGCAGUUUGCUGAAAUAAAUGGCAAGGCUUUGGUGAUCGCUGAAACAGACAGCAAAGAUGACGAUCUAUC
ensembl:lncRNA